rfam:Desulfobacterales bacterium S5133MH4 k99_1112675, whole genome shotgun sequence.
AGAUUCAUACAGUGAAGGAGUAGCGAACCACACUGACCCCGAGUCAUGCGGCUGUGGCAGUAACGGCAUGACCGAAGCGUUGACAGGGGAACGUAUGGGCCGAGUAUUGAGCCGCGAAAUCCCGAUACUCCAGGGUGCCAACGUAGUGGAACGGUACGGAAGGCAAUAUCGAAUGUAUCGUAAUCGCGAGACACAUUCGGACCCUGCGCGGUCAGAGACCU